rnacentral:rRNA from 1 species
CAGUCGAGGGGCAGCGGGGAGCAAGCUUGCUUGCUCUGCCGGCGACCGGCGCACGGGUGAGUAACACGUAUGCAACCUGCCCUCCGCAGGGGGAUAACCCGGAGAAAUCCGGACUAAUACCGCGUGGUACACUUGUGGGGCAUCCCACGGGUGUUAAAAGGAAGUGAUUCCGGCGGAGGAUGGGCAUGCGGCGCAUUAGCUGGUUGGCGGGGUAACGGCCCACCAAGGCGACGAUGCGUAGGGGUUCUGAGAGGAAGGUCCCCCACACUGGUACUGAGACACGGACCAGACUCCUACGGGAGGCAGCAGUGAGGAAUAUUGGUCAAUGGGCGGGAGCCUGAACCAGCCAAGUCGCGUGAGGGAAGACGGUCCUAUGGAUUGUAAACCUCUUUAGGCGGGGAGCAAUGCCGGGCACGCGUGCCCGGAGGGAGAGUACCCGCAGAAUAAGCAUCGGCUAACUCCGUGCCAGCAGCCGCGGUAAUACGGAGGAUGCGAGCGUUAUCCGGAUUUAUUGGGUUUAAAGGGUGCGUAGGCGGAUUUUUAAGUCAGCGGUAAAAUGUCCGGGCUCAACCCGGGCCGGCCGUUGAAACUGGGGAUCUUGAGUGGGCGAGAAGUAUGCGGAAUGCGUGGUGUAGCGGUGAAAUGCAUAGAUAUCACGCAGAACUCCGAUUGCGAAGGCAGCAUACCGGCGCCCGACUGACGCUGAGGCACGAAAGCGUGGGGAUCGAACAGGAUUAGAUACCCUGGUAGUCCACGCAGUAAACGAUGAAUGCUAGUUGUCCG